UCCUACGGGAGGCUGCAGUCAAGAAUAUUCCUCAAUGGCCGAAAGGCUGAAGGAGCGACACCGCGUGUAGGAUGAAGGUCUUCGGAUUGUAAACUACUUUUAAUAGGGAAGAAUUUGUGACGGUACCUAUUGAAUAAGAGGUUGCUAACUCUGUGCCAGCAGCAGCGGUAAUACAGAGACCUCAAGCGUUAUCCGGAUUUAUUGGGCGUAAAGCGUCCGCAGAUGGUUUGGCAAGUCAGGGGUCAAAACUCACCGCUUAACGGUGAGAUCGCUUCUGAUACUAUCAAACUCGAGUAUGGAAGAGGCUAGCGGAAUUCUCGGUGUAGUCGUAAUAAGCGUUGAUAUCGAGAAGAACACCAAAUGCGAAGGCAGCUAGCUGGUACAUUACUGACAUUCAGGGACGAAAGCGUGGGGAGCAAACAGGAUUAGAUACCCGAGUAGUC
rnacentral:rRNA from 1 species